UACGAAGGGUGCAAACGUUGCUCGGAAUCAUUGGGCGUAAAGCGCACGUAGGCGGCUUCAAAAGUCGGAUGUGAAAUCCCACGGCUCAACCGUGGACGUGCAUCCGAAACUGGGAGGCUUGAGUACUGAAGAGGAUCGCGGAAUUCCCGGUGUAGAGGUGAAAUUCGUAGAUAUCGGGAGGAACACCAGUGGCGAAGGCGGCGAUCUGGGCAGAUACUGACGCUGAGGUGCGAAAGCGUGGGGAGCAAACAGG
rnacentral:rRNA from 1 species